rnacentral:rRNA from 1 species
GACGAACGCUGGCGGCGUGCCUAAUACAUGCAAGUAGAACGCUGAAGGAGGAGCUUGCUCUUCUGGAUGAGUUGCGAACGGGUGAGUAACGCGUAGGUAACCUGCCUGGUAGCGGGGGAUAACUAUUGGAAACGAUAGCUAAUACCGCAUAAGAGUAGAUGUUGCAUGACAUUUACUUAAAAGGUGCAAUUGCAUCACUACCAGAUGGACCUGCGUUGUAUUAGCUAGUUGGUGGGGUAACGGCUUACCAAGGCGACGAUACAUAGCCGACCUGAGAGGGUGAUCGGCCACACUGGGACUGAGACACGGCCCAGACUCCUACGGGAGGCAGCAGUAGGGAAUCUUCGGCAAUGGACGGAAGUCUGACCGAGCAACGCCGCGGGAGUGAAGAAGGUUUUCGGAUCGUAAAGCUCGGUUGUAAGAGAAGAACGAGUGUGAGAGUGGAAAGUUCACACUGUGACGGUAUCUUACCAGAAAGGGACGGCUAACUACGUG